UACGGGGGGGGCAAGCGUUGUUCGGAAUUACUGGGCGUAAAGAGCUCGUAGGCGGUUCGAUAAGUCGGACGUGAAAUCUCCACGCUCAACGUGGAGGGGCCGUUCGAUACUGUCGUGACUCGAGUCCGGUAGGGGAGUGUGGAAUUCCCGGUGUAGCGGUGAAAUGCGCAGAGAUCGGGAGGAACACCCGUAGCGAAGGCGGCACUCUGGGCCGGUACUGACGCUGAGGAGCGAAAGCGUGGGGAGCAAACAGG
rnacentral:rRNA from 1 species